AAAAGAAGAUUCUAAAAGUUUGAAAGGAAAACACACACACAACCCCACACACAUAAUAGGUCACAGAUGAUGGAUCAGGGAGUCCGUGUGGCAUUAUGCCUCUCAAACAGCGACACUGGAUGCUAGAAUUGCCUUCAAAUGCCACGAAGCAGUAUCUUCAAAGUUCUGAAGAAAAAAAAAGGUUUCCACUUAAAAUUCCAUCUCCAGACAAAAUGAAACUACUGGAAUGGUAUUCUAUCAAAACGGUGGCAUAGAACGAGAAAUUUCCAAGAGGUUGGUGAAGGAAUAUCCCAGGACCACUAUGCAUCAAGCCCAGAAAACAUCCAGUUUAGAUUAGAGGAGGAUGACAAAAUGUUCCAGGUGGGAUAUCUCUAAAGAAGAAAAGAAUAACAGCAACUGAUGAAUUAUCUGAUGCAUGUGACCAUUACUGAGAAGAAUUUAUGAUUCUCUGAAGAAGUUGCAGUCCUUAAAAAAUGAAGGAAAUCAAAGUAAAGCAGUUAUUAACUCCAGGAAAAAUAAAAAGUUCAAGAUA